rnacentral:rRNA from 1 species
GACGAACGCUGGCGGCGUGCUUAACACAUGCAAGUCGAACGGUAAGGCCCUUCGGGGUACACGAGUGGCGAACGGGUGAGUAACACGUGGGUGAUCUGCCCUGCACUUCGGGAUUAGCCUGGGAAACUGGGUCUAAUACCGGAUAGGACCACUGCCUGCAUGGGUGGUGGUGGAAAGCUUUUGCGGUGUGGGAUGGGCCCGCGGCCUAUCAGCUUGUUGGUGGGGUGAUGGCCUACCAAGGCGACGACGGGUAGCCGGCCUGAGAGGGUGACCGGCCACACUGGGACUGAGAUACGGCCCAGACUCCUACGGGAGGCAGCAGUGGGGAAUACUGCACAAUGGGCGCAAGCCUGAUGCAGCGACGCCGCGUGAGGGAUGACGGCCUUCGGGUUGUAAACCUCUUUCAGCACCGACGAAGCGCAAGUGACGGUAGGUGCAGAAGAAGGACCGGCCAACUACGUGCCAGCCGCCGCGGUAA